UCACGCCCGGAUCCUCCCCUUUUGCGGUUGCUAAAGACAUUUCAGCCUGUCUUUUCAGUGUGUGUCCCUGUUGGAUGCUGCUUUGGAUCUGUUUAUUGCCCUCCCUGCAGUUUAACAGCAGGUUAUUUGAAGGCUGCGUAUCCUGAGCGGUGCAUUGAUUCUCAGGAACUUAUCUAUCCGCGUUUGGAUCCUCCUUCUCUCCUUCUCUCCUUCUCUUCUUUUU